AGUGAACGCUGGCGGUAGGCUUAACACAUGCAAGUCGAACGGCAGCACAGUACGUUCUUGCUCUUACGGGUGGCGAGUGGCGGACGGGUGAGGUAUACAUCCUAAUCUACUUUUUCGUGUGGGUUAACGUAGGGAAACUUACGCUCAUACCGCAUACGCUCUACGGGUGAAAGCAGGGGAUCUUUUCACCUUGUGCGAUUGAAUGCGCCGAUGGCGGACUGGCUAGUUGGCGGGGUAAAGGCCCACCAAGGCGACGAUCCGUAGCUGGUCUGAGAGGAUGGUCAGCCACACGAGAACGGAAACACGGACCAGGCUCCUGAGGGAGGCAGCAGAGGGGAAUGUUAGACAGUAGGGGCAAACCUGAUACAGCCAUACCGCGUGGGAGAAGAAAACCUUCGGGUUGUAAAGACCUUUUGUUGGGAAAGAAAAGCAGCAGGUUAAUACGCCGCUGUUCUGACGGUACCGAGAGAAUAAGCACCGGCUAACUUCGUG
rnacentral:rRNA from 1 species